CAUGCGCWGCUUACACAUGCAAGUCGAACGGUGUCUUCGGACAUAGUGGCGGACGGGUGAGUAACGCGUGAGAAUCUGGCUUAAGGACGGGGACAACCACUGGAAACGGUGGCUAAGACCCGAUAUGCCGAGAGGUGAAAGUAUUUUUAGCCUUGAGGGGAGCUCGCGUCUGAUUAGCUAGUUGGUGGGGUAAGGGCCUACCAAGGCGACGAUCAGUAGCUGGUCUGAGAGGAUGAUCAGCCACACUGGGACUGAGACACGGCCCAGACUCCUACGGGAGGCAGCAGUGGGGAAUUUUCCGCAAUGGGCGAAAGCCUGACGGAGCAAUACCGCGUGGGGGAGGAAGGCUCUUGGGUUGUAAACUCCUUUUCUCAGGGAAGAAAAAAAUGACGGUACCUGAGGAAUCAGCAUCGGCUAACUCCGUGCCAGCAGCCGCGGUAAUACGGAGGAUGCAAGCGUUAUCCGGAAUCAUUGGGCGUAAAGCGUCCGCAGGUGGCACUUCAAGUCUGCUGUCAAAGGUCGGGGCUUAACUCCGAACAGGCAGUGGAAACUGAAGCGCUCGAGUGCGGUAGGGGCAGAGGGAAUUCCUGGUGUAGCGGUGAAAUGCGUAGAGAUCAGGAAGAACACCGGUGGCGAAAGCGCUCUGCUAGGCCGCAACUGACACUCWSGGRCGAAAGCUAKGGGGAGCGAAUGGGAUAAUAUACCCCACUAGWCCUAGCUGUGAAAGAUGGAGACUAKGCGUKGCUUGUAUYKACCCGCGACCCGSCCAAACACCAAAA
rnacentral:rRNA from 1 species